rnacentral:misc_RNA from 1 species
AAAAGAAGUUCAUUACUAUUGAAAAGCCAAUGAUAGGAUCUCAUGCACAAUCCCACACAGACAAAGUUUGUAAUGCUGAUAUAUUGAUGAGAAAUAAGACCCAGAAGAGUUCAGAGGAAAUUCAAACUCACUAUAUAUGCUAGAGUGGAAGUAAAAGUACAACAUUUGCACUCAAAGCACACUAUAUCCCAUAAUUUUCACUAAAAGUCGUCUCAUCCGUCUUCCCAUUUAAUCACAUACUAAUUU